AGACCCACCAAAUCUUCCGAACAAUAGAUGGCGAGGAUCAGUGGGGGAUUAGCUCAGCUGGGAGAGCACCUGCUUUGCAAGCAGGGGGUCGUCGGUUCGAUCCCGUCAUCCUCCACCAACCAAUAAUCAUCCAACACCAAAGCGGCUUCGCAAGAGGCUUCUUUGUUGUUGGUCCGGUAUAGACCGGAUCAAUCGGCUGUUCUUUAAAAAUUCAUAGAGUCGAAUCAGCGUUGCCGGCGGAAAGCAGGAAACUGCACCGUGCCGCCGGUGACAAAAAUUUGAUUGCGUCAAAACGAAUGUUCAAUUUGCGAAAGCUAGUUGAAAUUCAGUAAUGACGAAUUGUUCUCUAGGUAGUGAUACCGAAGAAGAAUUCACAUUACGGCAUAACGCGCGAGGUGAAAGACCUCGCAAGUCCUUGAAAGAAAGCGGAGAUGUC
rnacentral:tRNA from 1 species